AACAACCCUUCAAUUGGAUCACCCAUUUAUCAAUUGCCGUACCCAGAAACUACGACCCUAGAAAAAAUCAUCUCUCUCUGUACUCGAAAUCUUCAUUUCUCACACAAUCUCAAACCUAUCUCGGUAAUCUUUAACAAUGACUGCACCAAUUUCAGUACCAGCAAUGCACCGGUAAUCAAUUGCUUCUCUUCGAGAUUCCGGUUUUUUUCAUCUGAAAAUGACGCCCCAAGGAAAUAGCAGAGUCGAACCAAGAUUCAAAGCCUGAAUCCGAAUCUAGCGUCAACAGGCCUGAAGAGAAGAAACAAGUCGCCGCCGAGGUCCAAGGUGUAACCAAUGAAGAUUUAAAAGUGCAGAUAGAGGACACUUCAAGAAUGCCAAUGAGGAUGCACUCCCAUUAAUCCUUGAGAGUAUUCUAAAGAGGAGGAUAUCCGGUAAGCAUGAUGACACAGAUGAUGAGUUGAUGGAAGAGCUUCAAAUGCAGCCGAUACAUAAUGACAUAAUGUUACAGACCUAUAUUUUGAGGAGGGCCAUGAAACGAAUGAAGAGAUUGAUGAUUUGUACAAUGCAAGGGAUAUUGUGGUGAAGAAAAUGGUGAGUGAUCCAUACUUUAACAUGGAUGACAAGAAGUGGGAUGACAUGAUUGCAGAGGCUGUCGAACAUGGGCGUCUGAAGGAUACUAGGGAGUGUGAGGCAAUACUAGAGGACAUGCUUAACUGGGACAAACUUCUACCGGACGAGAUCGAAAAGAAAGUGGAAAAGAAGUUCGAUGAGAUAGCAAAUAGGAUUGGAAAAGGUGAACUUGAAGUUGAAGAAGACUGCAUUGUUCAAAGAGUUUGAAGACCAAAUGGUAUUGCAAUGUGCUAAGCUGAUGGAGGCAGAGGCUCCUAAACAGUUUGAUGAGAGUCAGAGACUGCUGUGCCCGAUAAGAAAAAUGAUCUUGAUGACCCACCAGGUGAGGGCCCAAUUAUUAGGUGGCAAACACGCGCGGUCUUUGCUCCUGGUGGUGAUGCAUGGCACCUAAAAAAUAGAAAAGUAAAAUUGGCUGUUACUGUCAAAGAGCUUGGUUUGUCAAAGCAUCAAUUCUGCCGGCAUAAAAGAAUUAGCAGGAAGGCGAUACAAUCCAGGAAAAGAUGAACUUACCAUAACUAGUGAGAGGUUUAAACAUCGAGGCGAGAACAGAAAGGAUUGCCUCCGGAUUCUAUUUGCUUUGAUUGAGGAGGCAGGUAAAGUUAGGAAAUUGGUGGAGGAAACUGGAACUUCAAACAUCAAAGAGAGACUUAAAGCUAAUCCGAAUUUCAUGCAGAGGUUUCAAGUCAAGAUGGCGAAAACGAGAGAAUCUACUUUAUUACCUGCAUGAGAGAACUUGACUGCUGGGAUCUUCAGACAAUGAUUUGAAUGAUACAUUUCUUUAAGUAGUUUCCUUGUCUAUGUAGAAAUUAGUUUGCACGGGUAGUUAUAGAUCCCCAGUCCGAGGCGCUGAGUUAACAUCUAAUCCUCUCUCAUGUCUGGAAGAGACAUAAACACUAGUCCAUCCUGAAUUACAGAGGCAAGUUACUUUGGUUAUAGGAUUUGUCUCUAAUACUUUAGCUUUUGCUAUAAAGAUUACCCGAAGUGGUUGAAAACAAGCAAGCUGAACAGAGGAAGAAAUUUGCUUAGGUUGCUACCAUUGUUACCUCUCCGUACUCUUCUUCUCAUUUAUCUCAAGUAACUCCUCAAGUAGGAAUCUAACCGAGAUGAUGAGUAGAAUUGGUAGCAAGGGGGUGGCUUUUACAACAUGGAGUUUCAAUAUGAGUAAAGUAACGAUUUUCAAGUAGUGGGUCAUUCCAUGCAUAAUGAUCCAGUUGGGCAUAUGUUGAUGCACCAACUUAUACGGGAGAGUUGUAAUAGAAAUCUUAGAACAGGAUUUAAAAUCUUCACUCUAGCACGUCCUAGUCUAGUUAGGUUUUUUUCUUCUAGUAAAACGAUUUUAUAAUCUUUCCUUUUUCUUUUCCUUCUAUAUAUAGGAUUGCAGUCCUAUAAAUAUGAUUGAUAAUGUAAUAAAUCAUUCAGCGUAAAUUCUAAGUUUGUUUGAUAACAAAA